UACGUAGGCAGCAAGCGUUGUUCGGAAUUACUGGGCGUAAAGAGUGUGUAGGCGGUGUUCUAAGUUUGGUGUGAAAUCUCCCGGCUCAACUGGGAGGGUGCGCCGAAUACUGAGAGGCUAGAGUGCGGGAGAGGAAAGUGGAAUUCCUGGUGUAGCGGUGAAAUGCGUAGAUAUCAGGAGGAACACCGGUGGCGAAGGCGGCAUCCUGGACCGAUACUGACGCUGAGGAGCGAAAGCCAGGGGAGCAAACGGG
rnacentral:rRNA from 1 species